rnacentral:rRNA from 1 species
CCUACGGGAGGCUGCAGUGGGGAAUAUUGGACAAUGGGCGAAAGCCUGAUCCAGCCAUGCCGCGUGUGUGAAGAAGGCCUUCGGGUUGUAAAGCACUUUCAGUGGGGAAGAAAGCCUUGGGGCUAAUACCCUCGAGGAAGGACAUCACCCACAGAAGAAGCACCGGCUAACUCCGUGCCAGCAGCCGCGGUGAAUACGGAGGGUGCGAGCGUUAAUCGGAAUUACUGGGCGUAAAGCGCGCGUAGGCGGUCUGAUAAGCCGGUUGUGAAAGCCCCGGGCUCAACCUGGGAACGGCAUCCGGAACUGUCAGGCUAGAGUGCAGGAGAGGAAGGUAGAAUUCCCGGUGUAGCGGUGAAAUGCGUAGAGAUCGGGAGGAAUACCAGUGGCGAAGGCGGCCUUCUGGACUGACACUGACGCUGAGGUGCGAAAGCGUGGGUAGCAAACAGGAUUAGAUACCCUAGUAGUC